UGUGUUGCUUACCUGCGGAAAGGAAUUCGAUGGCUUUUGGUGUGCCCAUCCACCUUAUACCCCUAAAAGGUGUGGGGUGGACGUCAGGCGGCCUCUGUGUUCCCUACGUGUCGAGUGCAUUGGUUCUCGGCCGUUGUGGCCCAUAGGGUCUCCGCCCGUGCUUGCGGAUGCGGAACGUUAUUUGUGCGGGCAUGAGGGGGUCUUGACCUCUGUUCAUCCGACCCGUACUUUACAUUGUCCCUUGAAGCGAAUGACUGUCGCGUCCGUCUUGAUCGACCGAUCGGGCCCCCACCGUGGGGCUCCGGGAGGGCUGCUCAUGCGGGCGUCGGCGUCGGAGAGGAAUGC
rnacentral:misc_RNA from 1 species